GUAGGUGGCAAGCGUUGUCCGGAAUUAUUGGGCGUAAAGCGCGCGCAGGCGGUCCUUUAAGUCUGAUGUGAAAGCCCACGGCUCAACCGUGGAGGGUCAUUGGAAACUGGGGGACUUGAGUACAGAAGAGGAAAGCGGAAUUCCAAGUGUAGCGGUGAAAUGCGUAGAGAUUUGGAGGAACACCAGUGGCGAAGGCGGCUUUCUGGUCUGUAACUGACGCUGGGGCGCGAAAGCGUGGGGAGCAAACAGGAUUAGAUACCCUGGUAGUCCACGCCGUAAACGAUGAGUGCUAAGUGUUAGGGGGUUUCCCGCCCCCUUAGUGCUGCAGCUAACGCAUUAAGCACUCCGCCUGGGGAGUACGGCCGCAAGGCUG
rnacentral:rRNA from 1 species